rnacentral:rRNA from 1 species
GCCUAACACAUGCAAGUCGAGCGAGGUAGCAAUACCUAGCGGCAGACGGGUGCGUAACAUGUGGGAAUCUGCCUUUUGGUUCGGAGCAACACGGGGAAACCUGUGCUAAUACCGGAUAAGUCCUUACGGAGAAAGUUUUAACGCCAAAAGAUGAGCCCGCACUUGAUUAGCUAGUUGGGGUGGUAAUGGCUUACCAAGGCAACGAUCAAUAGCUGUUCUUAGAGGAAGACCAGCCACAUUGGGACUGAGACACGGCCCAAACUCC